rnacentral:rRNA from 1 species
UACGUAGGUGGCAAGCGUUGUCCGGAAUUACUGGGCGUAAAGCGUGCGUAGGCGGUUGGCUAAGUCAGAUGUGAAAGCCCUGGGCUCAACCUGGGAAUGGCAUUUGAAACUGGCUGGCUAGAGUGUGAUAGAGGAUGGCGGAAUUCCCGGUGUAGCGGUGAAAUGCGUAGAGAUCGGGAGGAACAUCCGUGGCGAAGGCGGCCAUCUGGAUCAACACUGACGCUGAGGCACGAAAGCGUGGGGAGCAAACAGG